rnacentral:sRNA from 20 species
GUCAGCAACCCCCGACUUGAAGUCGGGGGCUUCAGGCAGAUAACCUGAAGCCCUAGUUGACCAGACUAUCGUUUGAGGCAAGUGUUAAAGACCUACUUUAGGAUGCUUGCUAGUCCUGAACCCUAGA